AUUGAACGCUGGCGGCAGGCUUAACACAUGCAAGUCGAACGAGUGGCGGACGGGUGAGUAAUGCUUGGGAAUGUAGCUUAUGGAUGGGGAUAACUACGGGAAACUGUUGCUAAUACCGAGUUCCUUAGGAUGGGCCCAAGUGGGAUUAGGUAGUUGUUGAGGUAAAGGCUCACCAAGCCGACGAUCUGUAGCUGGUCUGAGAGGAUGACCAGCCACACUGGGACUGAGACACGGCCCAGACUCCUACGGGAGGCAGCAGUGGGGAAGAUUGCACAAUGGGGGAAAGCUGACGCAGCCAUGCCGCGUGAAUGAAGAAGGCCUUCGGGUUGUAAAGUACUUUCGGUAGCGAGGCGUUACCUACAGAAGAAGCACCGGCUAACUCCGUGCCAGCAGCCGCGGUAAUAC
rnacentral:rRNA from 1 species